UUGACAUGUCUGACCAGCAUGCUCAGACAACAGAUGUUACUGAUUGGAAAUUUCAUUGGUGGAUGAAAAGCAAGUUUAAUGAGAUAGUGGAUGCUGUCGCUGGAGUCUGCCAGAUCAUCUUAGCAAUUUCUAAUAAAACCAGAUUCACAAGAAGGGCUGCAGGUGCCGAAGCUGAAGCAUGUAAAAUAUCCAGGACUUUAUGAAAUGGGCUGCGGUGCUGCUGGCUGCCACUAGGCCACUGGACCCAGCAGAGCCCAUCUUGCACAUAGAAGAUGCUCCUGGGGUGAGAG